CAAUAGCGUAUAUUAACGUUGUUGCAGUUAAAAAGCUCGUAGUUGGAUUUCUGGAGGGAGCGUCGGCCCGUAUUUACGAGUGCGUGACGUCUCUGUCCAUCCUUGCGGGAAGGCACGGCAUUGAUUUGUUGUGUCGGAUCGCAUCAUUUACUGUGAAAAAAUUAGAGUGUUCAAAGCAGGCUUUCGCUUGAAUACAUUAGCAUGGAAUAAUAAGAUGGGACUUUGGUGCUAUUUUGUUGGUUGAGCCUAAAGUAAUGAUUAAUAGGGAUAGUUGGGGGCACCUGUAUUGCGUUGUCAGAGGUGAAAUUCUUGGAUUUACGCAAGACAAACAGCUGCGAAAGCGUCUGCCAAGGAUGUUUUCAUUA
rnacentral:rRNA from 1 species